GCGAACGCUGGCGGCAGGCCUAACACAUGCAAGUCGAGCGGCCGUAGCAAUACGGCAGCGGCAGACGGGAUAGUAACACGUGGGAACGUGCCCUUUGGUUCGGAAUAACUCGGCGAAAGCCGUGCUAAUACCGGAUAAGCCCUUACGGGGAAAGAUUUAUCGCCAUUGGAGCGGCCCGCGUCUGAUUAGCUAGUUGGUGAGGUAAUGGCUCACCAAGGCGACGAUCAGUAGCUGGUCUGAGAGGAUGAUCAGCAUCACUGGGACUGAGACACGGCCCAGACUCCUACGGGAGGCAGCAGUGGGGAAUAUUGGACAAUGGGCGCAAGCCUGAUCCAGCCAUGCCGCGUGGGUGAAGAAGGCCUUAGGGUUGUAAACCCCUUUCAGCGGGGAAGAUAAUGACGGUACCCGCAGAAGAAGUCCCGGCUAACUCCGU
rnacentral:rRNA from 1 species